CAACUGGGCAGAGGGAUCCUCCUCCCAUCAUCAGUGCUGCUUCUUUCUGCUCACUCAUGGUGAGCUGAAGUACUUGGUGGAACUGGAAGCUUGUGGGUGGAGCUCCAUGGACUGUAGUUUAUCGUUGAUGUAGAGAGCAACACUCCCUCCUGCUCCUACUGAAGAGUCUAUAACCAUCUAGCCCUACGCUCCAAUCAUGAGAUCCAUUCCAUCAUGUCUCAGUGAUGCCAAUGAUGGCAUAACCCUGUAGACUUACACAGAUCUGCAGCUCUUCCUGUUUGUUCCUCAUGCUCCUUGUGUUAGAAGCACAACUGAAAUGCCUCUAAGCUGCUGGAGCUGACUUACUGUCUGAAUUUCCCUUACCCUGUUUUUUGGGCACUCAGUCUGUACUUCAACCCUGGACUCAGAUCCCACCUCUCCAUGCUCAAACACCUCCGUAGUUGUCACCCUAUCUCUCAUGUCUUCAUUACUGUGUGGAUUACCAUGUGAUGUUUCCCUGUUGGCAGCUACCACCUGAAGGGAAUCUAGCUUGUCUCUGCAAGACUUUGACUGCAUUAUUUUGUGCCCAGCAUGCUUCUGGGCAAAUUGAGAGCCCUUACUAGAUCCCCAUUGCUCACACACUAGUGUGUCCUCCCACAGCUUGCCACAUGGAAGCCUGAUGACAUUAUCCCACUUCCCUUUCACAUCCUGUUUAAAGCCCUGUCAAUUAGCCCUGCAAUCUCCUCCACAAAGACCCUUUUCCCCCCUUCAAGAGAGGUAGCUCUUGUUCUUUUUACCUUCCCAGUAAGAUCUGAGGAUGUCUGUUUGAAA